rnacentral:rRNA from 1 species
AGUGAACGCUGGCGGUAGGCCUAACACAUGCAAGUCGAACGGCAGCACAGUAAGAGCUUGCUCUUACGGUUGGCGAGUGGCGGACGGGUGAGGCAUACAUCGGAAUCUACUUUUUCGUGGGGGAUAUCGUAGGGAAACUUACGCUAAUACCGCAUACGACCUACGGGUGAAAUCAGGGGAUCUUCGCACCUUGCGCGAUUGAAUGAGCCGAUGUCGGAUUAGCUAGUUGGUAGGGUAAAGGCCCACCAAGCCAACGAUCCGUAGCUGAUCUGAGAGGAUGAUCGGACACACUGGAACUGAGACACGGUCCAGACUCCUACGGGAGGCAGCAGUAGGGAAUCUUGCGCAAUGGGCGAAAGCCUGACGGAGCAACGCCGCGUGAGUGAUGAAGGUCUUCGGAUCGUAAAACUCUGUUAUUAGGGAAGAACAUAUGUGUAAGUAACUGUGCACAUCUUGACGGUACCUAAUCAGAAAGCAACGGCUAACUACGUG